UUCAAAUUUCUUCAUCAAUGUUUCGUUCUCUAUCAGGUGUCGAGAUAAAGAUUCUCCAUGCUCACAUGACAAAACCCAUUUCUUCUUCUUCAUUUGUAGAUUCUUACGCCUUCCACUGAUCCUUUCAUAUGAUGAUACUUAUAAAAUCCUUAAAUCAAAACUGGAUAAUUUCAAUUUCAUCAAAAACAUUGUUGUUAGUGACAGAUACUUCUUCCUUCAGAACUAAUUGAGAAAUAUUGAAGUUUGGGUUUAAGGUUUUAAGCCAAUCAAGGUGCCCUUCAAUCAAGGGCUUUUUGUACCAGAGAAUAAGGGUAUGGGUUUUGAUCCUGACAAACACUGCAUUUCUUAGUGCUAUUCAGGUUAAAGAACUCCCACAAUAAAUUGUUGGUUGAUGUGGAUGUAUCGGCUCAAAUAAUUGAAGAUUUCUCAAAAAAAUAUCUCUGGAAAGGAUUGAUCAUUUCACCAGGCUCCAAAAAGGGAGGGAGUAGUUUGAAACUGAUGUUGUGCUGCGUGAGUUUGGGAAUUUUUUUAUUUUUCGUCAUUGCCAUUAUAAAGAUUGGUUUCAAGGACCAGAAGGACCUCCCUGGAGACAGACAGUUUGCACCAUGGCGGCGAUGGAUGGUGAAGGCUGUUACUUGGUGCUUUAUGAUGGAUAGUCAACUUUUAUGUUUCCCUGAAUGUUGUCUCUUGAUAGCUGCGAAUUUGGCCACUAAAUCGUGGGAAGUUUUGGAUGGAUAUGGCUGCUGCAAGAAGAGGAGGAACUGCUACUACUUCCUGAAUGUUGUCUCCGUGGGAAAAUCCCAACAUAGCACAGAGAGGAGUGAGAGAGAUUGAAACACUCAAA